rnacentral:snRNA from 1 species
AUACUUACCUGGACGGGGUCAAUGGGCGAUCAAGCAGGCCCAUGGCCUAGGUUGGUGACUUCCAUUGCACUUUGGAGGGGUGCUAGCCUAAGGUCGGCCCAAGUGGUCGAGCCUACGUCAUAAUUUGUGGCAGAGGGGGCCUGCGUCCGCGCGGCCCCUAC